rnacentral:rRNA from 1 species
AUUGAACGCUGGCGGCAGGCCUAACACAUGCAAGUCGAACGGUAGCACAGAGAGCUUGCUCUCGGGUGACGAGUGGCGGACGGGUGAGUAAUGUCUGGGAAACUGCCUGAUGGAGGGGGAUAACUACUGGAAACGGUAGCUAAUACCGCAUAACGUCGCAAGACCAAAGAGGGGGACCUUCGGGCCUCUUGCCAUCAGAUGUGCCCAGAUGGGAUUAGUUAGUAGGUGGGGUAACGGCUCACCUAGGCGACGAUCCCUAGCUGGUCUGAGAGGAUGACCAGCCACACUGGAACUGAGACACGGUCCAGACUCCUACGGGAGGCAGCAGUGGGGAAUAUUGCACAAUGGGCGCAAGCCUGAUGCAGCCAUGCCGCGUGUAUGAAGAAGGCCUUCGGGUUGUAAAGUACUUUCAGCGGGGAGGAAGGUGUUGUGGUUAAUAACCGCAGCAAUUGACGUUACCCGCAGAAGAAGCACCGGCUAACUCCG